rnacentral:rRNA from 1 species
UACGUAGGUGGCAAGCGUUGUCCGGAUUUAUUGGGUUUAAAGGGUGCGUAGGUGGUCUAUUAAGUCAGUGCUGAAAUAUCCCGGCUUAACCGGGAGGGUGGCAUUGAUACUGAUGGACUUGAGUACAUUUGAGGUGGGCGGAAUGUGUCAUGUAGCGGUGAAAUGCUUAGAUAUGACACAGAACACCGACUGCGAAGGCAGCUCACUAAACUGUAACUGACGCUGAGGCACGAAAGCGUGGGGAGCAAACAGG